CCUACGGGUGGCAGCAGUGGGGGAUAUUGGACAAUGGGGGAAACCCUGAUCCAGCGACGCCGCGUGAGUGAAGAAGUAUUUCGGUAUGUAAAGCUCUAUCAGCAGGGAAGAAAGAAAUGACGGUACCUGAGUAAGAAGCCCCGGCUAACUACGUGCCAGCAGCCGCGGUCAGACGUAGGGGGCAAGCGAUAUCCGGAAUUACUGGGGGUAAAGGGAGCGUAGACGGUAAUGCAAGUCUGGAGGUAAAGGCGGGGGCACACCUCGCGGACUGCUCUGGAAACUGGUUAACUGGAGUGCAGGAGAGGCAGGCGGAAUUCCUAGUGUAGCGGUGAAAUGCGUAGAGAUUAGGAGGAACACCAGUGGCGAAGGCGGCCUGCUGGCCUGUAACUGACGUUGAGGCUCGAAAGCGUGGGGAGCAAACAGGAUUAGAUACCCCUGUAGUC
rnacentral:rRNA from 1 species